rnacentral:rRNA from 1 species
AUUGAACGCUGGCGGCAGGCCUAACACAUGCAAGUCGAGCGGAUGAGGGGAGCUUGCUCCUUGAUUCAGCGGCGGACGGGUGAGUAAUGCCUAGGAAUCUGCCUGGUAGUGGGGGAUAACGUUCCGAAAGGAACGCUAAUACCGCAUACGUCCUACGGGAGAAAGCAGGGGACCUUCGGGCCUUGCGCUAUCAGAUGAGCCUAGGUCGGAUUAGCUAGUUGGUGAGGUAAUGGCUCACCAAGGCGACGAUCCGUAACUGGUCUGAGAGGAUGAUCAGUCACACUGGAACUGAGACACGGUCCAGACUCCUACGGGAGGCAGCAGUGGGGAAUAUUGGACAAUGGGCGAAAGCCUGAUCCAGCCAUGCCGCGUGUGUGAAGAAGGUCUUCGGAUUGUAAAGCACUUUAAGUUGGGAGGAAGGGCAGUAAGUUAAUACCUUGCUGUUUUGACGUUACCAACAGAAUAAGCACCGGCUAACUUCGUGCCAGCAGCCGCCGCAGUAA